GGCUCUGUAGCUCAACUGGAUAGAGCAUCCCGACAACGUCGGGAAGGUUUAAGCUUCGAAUCCUUACAGAGUCA
rnacentral:tRNA from 1 species